GGGCAGGUGACUGAGUUUGGUUAAAGGUGCCUCUCUUGAAAAGAGGCAAUGCUCAACGCAUUCCUGGGUUCAAAUCCCAGUCUGCCCG
rnacentral:tRNA from 2 species